CUUCAUCCCCUUUCCCAUUUCGUAUUCCUCAUUCCCAUUUCCGUAAGAGAGAGAGAGAGAGAGAGAGAGAGAGAGAGAGGGAGGGAGAGAGAAGCAAUUUUCGAGCUUGGAUCGCGAUUGGUUCGGGUUUUAAGGUGAAUUUGGGGAAAGAUCCAAGA